rnacentral:rRNA from 1 species
AGAGUUUGAUCCUGGCUCAGAUUGAACGCUGGCGGCAGGCCUAACACAUGCAAGUCGAGCGGAUGAAGGGAGCUUGCUCCUGGAUUCAGCGGCGGACGGGUGAGUAAUGCCUAGGAAUCUGCCUGGUAGUGGGGGAUAACGUCCGGAAACGGGCGCUAAUACCGCAUACGUCCUGAGGGAGAAAGUGGGGGAUCUUCGGACCUCACGCUAUCAGAUGAGCCUAGGUCGGAUUAGCUAGUUGGUGGGGUAAAGGCCUACCAAGGCGACGAUCCGUAACUGGUCUGAGAGGAUGAUCAGUCACACUGGAACUGAGACACGGUCCAGACUCCUACGGGAGGCAGCAGUGGGGAAUAUUGGACAAUGGGCGAAAGCCUGAUCCAGCCAUGCCGCGUGUGUGAAGAAGGUCUUCGGAUUGUAAGGCACUUUAAGUUGGGAGGAAGGGCAGUAAGUUAAUACCUUGCUGUUUUGACGUUACCAACAGAAUAAGCACCGGCUAACUUCGUGCCAGCAGCCGCGGUAAUACGAAGGGUGCAAGCGUUAAUCGGAAUUACUGGGCGUAAAGCGCGCGUAGGUGGUUCAGCGAGUUGGAUGUGAAAUCCCCGGGCUCAACCUGGGAACUGCAUCCAAAACUACUGAGCUAGAGUACGGUAGAGGGUGGUGGAAUUUCCUGUGUAGCGGUGAAAUGCGUAGAUAUAGGAAGGAACACCAGUGGCGAAGGCGACCACCUGGACUGAUACUGACACUGAGGUGCGAAAGCGUGGGGAGCAAACAGGGAUAGAUACCCUGGUAGUCCACGCCGUAAACGAUGUCGACUAGCCGUUGGGAUCCUUGAGAUCUUAGUGGCGCAGCUAACGCGAUAAGUCGACCGCCUGGGGAGUACGGCCGCAAGGUUAAAACUCAAAUGAAUUGACGGGGGCCCGCACAAGCGGUGGAGCAUGUGGUUUAAUUCGAAGCAACGCGAAGAACCUUACCUGGCCUUGACAUGCUGAGAACUUUCCAGAGAUGGAUUGGUGCCUUCGGGAACUCAGACACAGGUGCUGCAUGGCUGUCGUCAGCUCGUGUCGUGAGAUGUUGGGUUAAGUCCCGUAACGAGCGCAACCCUUGUCCUUAGUUACCAGCACCUCGGGUGGGCACUCUAAGGAGACUGCCGGUGACAAACCGGAGGAAGGUGGGGAUGACGUCAAGUCAUCAUGGCCCUUACGGCCAGGGCUACACACGUGCUACAAUGGUCGGUACAAAGGGUUGCCAAGCCGCGAGGUGGAGCUAAUCCCAUAAAACCGAUCGUAGUCCGGAUCGCAGUCUGCAACUCGACUGCGUGAAGUCGGAAUCGCUAGUAAUCGUGAAUCAGAAUGUCACGGUGAAUACGUUCCCGGGCCUUGUACACACCGCCCGUCACACCAUGGGAGUGGGUUGCUCCAGAAGUAGCUAGUCUAACCGCAAGGGGGACGGUUACCACGGAGUGAUUCAUGACUGGGGUGAAGUCGUAACAAGGUAACCAAGGCGAAUUCGUAGCU